rfam:Sphaerobolus stellatus SS14 unplaced genomic scaffold SPHSTscaffold_152, whole genome shotgun sequence.
GGGCAUGUGGUUUAGUGGUAUAACAUUCGCUUAGCACUCUGUAGAAGCCAUUGCGAGCCUUCAGACCGCUGCGAAAGGUCCGGCGUUCAAUUCGCCGCUUGUCCA